AGGUUAAGCUGGAAAGUGCAUGUGGUGAAUGCCUUGGCGCCGAAAGUCGAUGAAGGACGUGAUAAGCUGCGAUAAGCCUCGGGGAGACGCAAACAGUCUAUGAUCCGGGGAUUUCCGAAUGGGGAAACCCUUAAUACAUUCAGCUGAAGGCCCGGUUUUAGGAUCGGGAUAUAGGCUGUCUGAGACAACCCAGGGAAUUGAAACAUCUAAGUACCUGGUGGAAAAGAAAUCAAAAGAGAUUCCGUUAGUAGUGGCGAGCGAACGCGGAAUAGCCCAAACCAUGAGGACCUGUCCUCGUGGGGUUGUAGGGCUCGUCCGGUGUAGAACCAAGAAGUUACCAAUCGUCGGGUAGUUAAACGGUCCUGGAAAGGCCGGCCAAAGAGGGUGAUAGCCCCGUAAGCGAAACCUAGACGACUUCUGACGAGUUCCUGAGUAGGAUCGGGCACGAGAAACCCGGUCUGAAUCUGCGGAGACCACUCUGCAAGGCUAAAUACUCUUCGGCGACCGAUAGUGAACUAGUACCGCGAGGGAAAGGCGAAAAGAACCCCUGACGGGGAGUGAAAAGAACCUGAAACCGCAUGUGUACAAACAGUGGAAGACCUAUGGCACUCUUUCGGGAGCGCAAUGGUCGACCAUGUGCCUAUUGAAGAAUGAUCCGGCGAGUUACUGGGUGGAGCGAGGUUAAGGGCUGCGUGAAAGCGUAGUCCGAAGCCGUAGCGAAAGCGAGUCCGAAAGGGCGACUAGUUUCAUUCAGUAGACCCGAAACCAAGUGAUCUAAGCCUGGCCAGCGUGAAGGUUCGGUAAAACGAACUGGAGGUGCGGAGUGUUUAGCGUUGAAAAGCUACUACAUGAGCUGGGUUUAGGGGUGAAAGGCCAAUCGAACUUGGUGAUAGCUGGUUCUCCCCGAAAUAACUCUAGGGUUAGCGUCGAGGGUUAAGCGGUAGGGGUAGAGCACUGGUAAGUGUAGGGGGAGCAACCCUCUUUCCGAAGCUUGUCAAACUCCGAAUACUACCGUGUAUUGCUCGGCAGUCAGUUCCAGGGGGAUAAGCUCCUGGUGCAAAAGGGAAACAGCCCAGACCAUCGAUUAAGGUCCCAAAGUGCGUGCUAAGUGGUAAAUGAUGUGGAUUUGCUUAAACACCUAGGAGGUUGGCUUAGAAGCAGCCACCCUUUAAAGAGUGCGUAACAGCUCACUAGUCUAGCGAAUCUGCGCAGAAAAUGACUCGGGGCUAAGCACGCCACCGAAUUCGUGGCUGUACGAGUUCUUCGGAACUUGUGCGGGGUAGGGGAGCGUUCGCAGUGCACAGAAGGCAUACCGUAAGGAGUGCUGGAGCGCUGUGAAGUGAGAAUGCCGGAAUAAGUAGCGAGAAACAAGGUGAGAAUCCUUGUCGCCGAAAGCCUAAGGUUUCCUUGAGCAAUGUUCGUCAGCUCAGGGUUAGUCGGUCCUAAGUCGAGGCCGAAAGGCGUAGACGAAGGGCAUCAGGUUAAUAUUCCUGAACUAGUGUCGGAUCUAUACACUAAGGAGUGACGCAGAAAGGUAAGUCUACCCGGUAAUGGUUGUCCGGGGGAAAGGUGGUAGGGGUGCUUCUCCAGGAAAAUCCGGAGGGGCGUUAACCCGAAAGCCGAGACCACGAUGGGGAAACCCGUUGGAAGUGACCCAACUACGCUGCCUAGAAAACCUUCGUAGUGUGAUCCGAGACUAACCGUACCGUAAUCCGACACAGGUGGGCGGGUUGAAAAUACUAAGGCGCGCGAGUGAGAGUUGGCUAAGGAACUCGGCAAAAUAAUCCCGUAACUUCGGAAGAAGGGAUGCCUCCGCAAGGAGGCCGCAGUGAACGGGGGGUUGCGACUGUUUAUCAAAAACACAGGUCUCUGCUGAAAUCACAAGAUGAUGUAUAGGGACUGACUCCUGCCCGGUGCUGGAAGGUCAAGGGGAGCUGUUAGCUUUCGGGCGAAGCAGCGAACUUAAGCCCCAGUAAACGGCGGCGGUAACUAUAACCGUCCUAAGGUAGCGAAAUUCCUUGUCGGGUAAGUUCCGACCUGCACGAAUGGAGUAACGAUGGCCCCGCUGUCUCGGCCAACUGCUCGGCGAAUUUGUGGUGCGAGUGAAGACGCUCGCUAGGCGUGGUUAGACGAAAAGACCCCGUGCACCUUUACUGCAACUUGACAUUGUGUUACGGUUUUGAAUGCGUAGGAUAGGUGGGAGCCUUUGAAGCGGCCCUUGAGGGGGUCGUGGAGGCAACGGUGAAAUACCACCCUUUUGGGACUGUGACUCUAACGUUGGGCCGUAAUCCGGUCGACGGACAUUGUCAGGCGGGCAGUUUGACUGGGGCGGUCGCCUCCUAAAGAGUAACGGAGGCGUACAAAGGUUCCCUCAGGCCGUAUAGAAAUCGGCCAUUGAGCGCAAGAGCAGAAGGGAGCUUGACUGUGAGGCACACAAGCCGAACAGGGACGAAAGUCGGUUCUAGUGAUCCGGUGGUUCGGAGUGGAACGGCCAUCGCUCAACGGAUAAAAGGUACGCCGGGGAUAACAGGCUGAUCGCAUCCAAGAGUUCACAUCGACGAUGCGGUUUGGCACCUCGAUGUCGGCUCAUCGCAUCCUCCCGCUGGAGCAGGUGGGAAGGGUUAGGCUGUUCGCCUAUUAAAGCGGUACGUGAGCUGGGUUCAGUACGUCGUGAGACAGUAGAACCUGCUGUCUAUAAACUUGGCCAUAUGCUGGAAACUCUGAGAAUCUCUUGGUAUGGAGCGGAACCUUAAGCGGUCCCGAAACGUAAAAAUCCAUGAGUGCAGACAAUCAGCAGGUAACCGAGAUGAGAAUAUCGUCAGACUAUAUACGUGGAUUCGUGGACGGAGAGGGAUGCUUCUACAUCCUCGCUAGCCGACGGAUCGCAUGCGAGUUUCAAGUCAGCCAGAAGGAGCGGACUGUCUUGGACGAAAUGCAGCGGUUUUUCGGUUGCGGGUACGUGAAGCCGAAGUAUGAUAGGUCGGGUACGCAUGUCUUCGUGGUAAAGAGGAUUGCGGAUUUGGCCGGUGUCAUCGUGCCCUUUUUUAAAACGAAUUUGCUUUUAGUUAAGCGGUAUGAUUUCGAAUGUUUCGCGGAAGCGGUUGAGCUUCAGCGAGCGAGAGCGCAUCUGACUCGAGAGGGUAGGGCGCGAAUUAUCGAACUCAAAUCGGGAACCUCAGAGACUUUACGCCAGGCUUCGGCUCACAAGGCCGGAAGAAGAUAAAGUCCGAACUGUGCGGCGACGCAUAGAGUUUGUCGGAAACGGCAAGCCGCCGGUCGGGAUUUUUCCCGGACGGUCAGUACCUCAAGAGUUUGAGGGAAGCAACAGAUUGACGGUCUCUAUCUACCAUGCCCGUAGGAAACUUGAGAGGAUUUGUCCAUAGUACGAGAGGACCUGGAUGAACGCACCUCCUGUGUCCCAGUUGUCCCGCCAGGGGCAGCGCUGGGUAGCGGUGUGCGGAUGGGAUAAACGCUGAAAGCAUCUAAGUGUGAAACCCACCUCAAGAUAAGGUUUCCCUAAGAUCUUCGGAUCUUCUAAAGGCCCCCGGAAGACUACCGGGUUGAUAGGCUGGACGUGUACGCACGGUAACGUGUUUAGCAAACCAGUACUAAUCGGCCGUGAGGCUUGACCUCAUUCUUC
rnacentral:rRNA from 3 species